rnacentral:snoRNA from 1 species
AAUCCAUGGUGGGGGCAGUCACGUUCGUACUCCUUAAAACGUUCACAGGCUUCAUAGAAAGGUUCAGUCGGUCCUUGCUGAAAGCUUGAGAUGUUGACUUAGUAU